ensembl:lncRNA
CUUGUCUGAACAAAGUGAUUUCAAAAUUUGAGCUUAAAAUGACACCCUGAAAUCCAGUCAAUGUGCCUCAUUACUUUUCAGAGAACAUUAUUCUUGAGAGAAUGUUGGCUUGACAUGUGAAAACUUUGAAUACUUAGAAAUGGCAGGUGUAGUAGUACACUUUGCCAGUUACUCAGUUACCCUUUUUUAUUUUCAUAGAUAUUCUGGGAUAAUUCCUUUUUUUUUUUUUUUUUUUACUGUAUAUAUGUGCAUGCUGAUGAAAGCAAAAAAGAAAGCACAUCCUUGGAUCUGAGAAGGCACGCGUGUGGUGAGAUGGAAGGAAGGACACGCAAAAAGGAAAUUUAGCACCUCUUGGAUCAAACCUUGAAUGCCACAGUGCUAGGUGUUUAACUGAUGUCCAGGAAGGAGAGAAACUAAUAUUAUGAUGAAAUACAAUGAAUGUGUUGGAUAUGGUGGAAGAAAAACAUUUGCAGAUAAUCUGAGUACAGCUGUGACAUCAUCAGGAACAUUCCUCUUUUAUGGAGUUCCUUAAUUCAUAAGUCUUAACCGUGAAUCAAAGGAGAUGAUAAUUCCGAGAAAAGAUACUUUACCAAGUUCAUUUUUAAUCCCAAGAAUCGGUGCCACUGGAUCUCUAUUGCAAUAUUCCUCAUUCAGGUGUUCGUCACUGCCAUCUCUGGUCCUAGGAGUACCCCUUGGCGAUAUGAUUGUGAUGACUGAAUAGGAAACUGAUGCCAUUUCUUCUGACACCAUCUUCAUCAAACCAAAAGAUGGUCUUCAUAAUGUAUGGAGACUCUUUCGUGUGUUGCAGUGGACACUCCUUGCAGAUCAGAAAAACCGGACUGAGAAAGCUCAUGUUUUAAAGUAAUCUAAAGAGUGUAAUUGGAGAGAAUUGUAACCAGGCCUGUUGACAGUUUUCAUUGUUGCCAUUGGACUAAAUCUCAGGAGCUUGAAUGCCAGAGACGUUAUUACACAGAAUCUCAGGAUGGUGUAAUUGCAAGGCUUCAUUUCAGUGCUCCCAUAAGUAUUAAGUGCAUGUAUUUAUAAUUUUCACUUAUCACAGGAUCAACUUAAAAUUAUUUCAUAAAAAAUCAUCUUGUUCAAGAUUUUAAAGGUAUAGAAAUUUGUGAAGUAUGGUAUUUUUAACUCAUGCCCUUUUCCCCUCAUAAUUCUAUUCUCCAGCGUUAUCUACUGUCAGUGUAGUUUUGUGCACAUCUUUUUGGGGUGUGUUGAUAAACAGAUUGAUAUGCAACUCUCUUUUUGGCCCAUAUUAUGUCUAUAAAUUUUCUAUGCCGUAAAAAGGCAUACAGAUAAAUUAUUUUGAUAAUUUCAGAGAAUUGGAACUGCUAGGACUAGGGAUGUCCAAAAAUUUAUGUUUUGAGUCAAAACUACAGCUUUCCCCCUAAUCAUAGAGAGUCUUCAUCAAUAUUGUCUCCCAGUGUUUGUUCAUGAGAGUUCUGUUUCCUAAAAUGGUACACAUGUUAGAUGUCAGUGUUUUAAUCGUUAACAAUGCGAUAUUACGAAGAAAUUGCUUUUUUUCUUCUCUUGUUUGUCUCCAUCAUCUUCGUAUAUCCUUAAUCCUUACUUGUCAUUUGUGUUAUUUCAUUUUCCUCUGCUUUUUGUUUUUUUCCAUUUCCCUUGGAGUAUGAGUGUCUGUGUUGCUCAUUUCUAAAAACUCAUUUAUAACUAAAGAUGUUAACCAUAUGUCAUGCAUUGCAAGUGAAAUACCAUGUUUUCUUUUCGGCAUCAUUUUACUGUGGUGUUUUAUUUUUUGGUUGUACAAAAGUUAUGUAUUGAAAUACAAUAAUGUUCUGUUUUAUGCCUUUUGAGUUUUGUGUUUUUCUUUUAAAAACAUGUUUGCAUUAGUAUCAUACAUUUCUUUCUCUGUAUUUUCUAAUACUUUUCAUUUUGUCCUUUUAUUUUUCCAUUAAUCAUUACCAUGGUAUUUAAAGUAUUACAUACUCAAAUUGUUUCCCUUGACUUAAGCAAUUACUGCUUAAUUUAAAUUCUGUAAUGAUAUGGAAAUUCCCACAUAAUUGGCUACAUUUCUAUUUAUUUGCUUUAUCUUAUAUUGAUACUUUAAAAUUACCGAUGGUUUCUAGUCUUAGCUAUUCCAUUGAAUUCUCUCAUUUCUCAUAAUUUUUCAGAAUAUUCCCUGUCUACAUUCAAAUUUUUUCCCUCAGUUGACGCUUAAAAUUAUUUUCCAAGUUGGAAAAAAAUGCAAUUUUAAUUUCAUUUGCACCAAAUUUAAUAGAGUAAUUAGGAGAGAAUUAGAUCUCUUUAACUCAGCCUUCCUAUCCAACUGCAAGGUAUGUGUUUCUAUUUUUAAUUAAAUUAUGUGGGAAUAUUGCUAGUGUAGUUUUAUUUUCUUAUUUUUUGAUUAAUCCCAACUCAUCUCAUACUUUUGUCAGUGUAGCGAUGGGGAUCAUACACUCAGUUUUUCUUAUUAAUAUGUGAAAGCCAUUUCAUGUACUUUUCUAGUGACGUUUAAUUGAAAUACCAACAUUAUGGUUUUCUUUUUUCACAAUUCAUAGGUGGUUUCAGAAUGUAUGAAAGCAGAAAGUGCCCUUGGUUAUUUCAUUAUUAAUACUAAUCCUGUUAAAGGUUUACUUAUGAGUCAUUUUAGGAAACAGCUUCCUUCCUUUCAUUGAGGAUUUUCCACUAAAUUUGAUGACAAGUUUAAUAAAAUGUCUUGUGUUUUACAGUUGAUCAUACUUGCCAUUAUAAUUAUUGACUAGGGUAAAAAUUAACUUUUUCUAAAAGUGAACAUUCUUGCAUCCAGUGAAUGAAUGAACUUAAUUGUGUAUAUGUGUAAUUAUAUAUAUAAAUAUAUAUGUAUGUAAAUACACACUUCCCUAUUAUAAUCAUUAUAAUUUUGUUUGCGAUUUCUGAAAAAAAUCUUAAACAACUUUAUUUUGUUUUGGUCAGGGUUUUGUGUUUGGUUAACUGGCUCUACUGAAAGUGUUUUGUGUAUUUUUGAUAUAGACUGGAAAGAAGUAUUGCCAUUAUUGCUUUAAUUUUUAUUUUGAAAUAAUUUUUGACACACAAAACUAUUGCAAAAGUAGUACGUAGUUUGUAAAAAUAUUCUUUAGAUUCCUCUUAUGUUAGCAAGUUUCAUAUGCAUGAUACAAUUAUCUAAACCAGGACAUUACCAUUGACGUACUGUUGUUAACUGAUCCUUUUUAUAGGUCCAGGAGUUAACGUGAAUGUUUGACCAUGCUUUCAAUUUCCAUGAGUCACAGUCAUGGGAUUUCUUAAAAUACAUCCCAAAUAGAAUCUGAUAAGGCACUUCUAUUUUCCCAUCUCCCAUGCAAGAAAUAACAACUUAAGACUUAGUUUUCUCUUAUAAUUUAUUCCGAAUGUAUUUUGUUAUAUCUCAGUAUUUGGGGCACCAGUAUUUUUGAAACACAAUCAUCAAACUACCUGUUGAAAAGUAUAAAAUGCAAUAAUAAUUCCUUAUAUUGUUAAUCACAAUGAAUAAUCAGUACCACCUAUGAAAUGCUUUUUGGUAAAAAAGUCUUAUUCCAAUUUGUCUUAUGUGUUUAAUUAAAAGUUA